GACGAACGCUGGCGGCGUGCUUAACACAUGCAAGUCGAACGAUGAACCCGGAGCUUGCUCCGGUGGAUUAGUGGCGAACGGGUGAGUAACACGUGAGUAACCUUCCCUUUACUCUGGGAUAACUGUGGGAAACUGUAGCUAAUACCGGAUACGACCCUCGGCGGCAUCGCCAGGGUGCGGCAAGCAUUUCGGUCAAGGAUGGACUCGCGGCCUAUCAGCUAUUUGGUGUGGUAAUGGCUCACCAAGGCGACGACGGGUAGCCGGCCUGAGAGGGUGACCGGCCACACUGGGACUGAGACACGGCCCAGACUCCUACGGGAGGCAGCAGUGGGGAAUAUUGCACAAUGGGCGCAAGCCUGAUGCAGCAACGCCGCGUGAGGGAUGACGGCCUUCGGGUUGUAAACCUCUUUUAGUAGGGAAGAAGCGAAAGUGACGGUACCUGCAGAAAAAGCACCGGCUAACUACGUGCCAGCCGCCGCAGUAA
rnacentral:rRNA from 1 species